rnacentral:misc_RNA from 1 species
AGUGGUGUUUGGUUUGUUACGGGUGGUUGGCUCCCUGCUUGAGCAGGCACGGCCACGCGUACAAUCCUUUUCAGUUUUGCGGCAAGGCUUGUAUCGUCUUGACCGUAUAUGUGGGUUUACUGUGUUGCAUACCUGAUAAAGGCAUUGUCUUGAUCCAAAACGUCCCUUUUUCGUCAGGUGUUGCACCCGCAACAUCGGAUGAACCAUGUGGCAUCCUCUUUGAUCCGUAUAAUCGAUGGUUAGUUCUGUUGAUUGUAUGGCUCGUUGAGGGUGGCCUGGUCUCUUGGAUAUGGAAGCCAAAGUGGGCAUGGGUUCUUAUGAUCCUUAUACUGCCCUCAUUGAGCGUUCUCGCUUCUCUUACACGACCGCCUUUCACGUAUGGCACGUCCCAGCGUGUUUGGCUAAGUCGAAGAGGAAUGCUACCUGGUUGAUCCUGCCAGUAGUCAUAU